rnacentral:misc_RNA from 1 species
GUUGUUGUUGUUGUUGUUAUUGUUGUUGUUUUAAAGCAGGGUAUGACAGUGCCGCUAUAAAAGAGAAAAUGAAGGCCUUAGAUACAAAUGAUCCAUGAAAACUGGUGCCUUUGUCCACUGGAAAGAAGGCUAUUGGAGGGUUUUAUCGGUAAAGAUGAAUCCCGAUGGUUCUAUAGUCAGAUUAAAAGCACGUCUUGUAACAAAAGGAUAUGCUUAAACAUAUGGGGUAG